GAGUAACUCCCCUUGGGGAGGGGGAUAACCAUCUGAAAAGGUGGCUAAUACCCCAUAUUCUCCUUUUUUGCCAAAGAAAGGAGGAAAGAUGGCGUAAGCUAUCACCCCGAGAGAGGCUCGCGUCCCAUCAGCUAGUUGGUAGGGUAAUGGCCUACCAAGGCUAUGACGGGUAGCUGGUCUGAGAGGAUGGUCAGCCACACUGGGACUGAGACACGGCCCAGACUCCUACGGGAGGCAGCAGUGAGGAAUCUUGGGCAAUGGGCGAAAGCCUGACCCAGCGACGCCGCGUGGAGGAAGAAGGCCUUCGGGUCGUAAACUCCUGUUCGGGGAGAAGAACAGGAGAGGAGUGAAUAACUUCUCUCCCUGACGGUAUCCCCGGAGAAAGCUCCGGCUAAUUACGUGCCAGCAGCCGCGGUAAUACGUAAGGAGCGAGCGUUGUCCGGAUUUACUGGGCGUAAAGAGCUCGUAGGUGGUUUCUUAGGUCUCACGUGAAAUUCCCUGGCUCAACUGGGGAGGGUCGUGGGAAACCGAGAAGCUAGAGGGCAGGAGAGGAGAGUGGAAUUCCCGGUGUAGCGGUGAAAUGCGUAGAGAUCGGGAGGAACACCAGUGGUGAAGACGGCUCUCUGGACUGUCCCUGACACUGAGGAGCGAAAGCCAGGGGAGCAAACCGGAUUAGAUACCCGGGUAGUCCUGGCUGUA
rnacentral:rRNA from 1 species